rnacentral:ncRNA from 1 species
UCUGGGAAUGAGGUUCUCCCGUGACAGUAAUUGUCAAAACCGCUUAUAAAAGCUGAUGACUUCUGCAAA